rnacentral:rRNA from 1 species
GGGCUGCAGUGGGGAAUAUUGGACAAUGGGCGAAAGCCUGAUCCAGCCACGCCGCGUGUGUGAUGAAGGUCUUCGGAUCGUAAAGCACUGUGGAGAGGGACGAAACGCAACGGGAACAAUACCUCGUUGAAUUGACGGUACCUCUUUAGCAAGCACCGGCUAACUCCGUGCCAGCAGCCGCGGUAAUACGGAGGGUGCAAACGUUGCUCGGAAUCAUUGGGCGUAAAGCGCGUGUAGGCGGCAAGAUAAGUCGAGUGUGAAAGCCCUGGGCUUAACCCAGGAAGUGCGCUCGAAACUGUCUAGCUUGAGUACGGGAGAGGGUAGCGGAAUUCCCGGUGUAGAGGUGAAAUUCGUAGAUAUCGGGAGGAACACCAGUGGCGAAGGCGGUUACCUGGACCGAUACUGACGCUGAGACGCGAAAGCGUGGGUAGCAAACAGGAUUAGAUACCCCUGUAGUC